rnacentral:piRNA from 1 species
UAUCAGCCCAGCUGCUUCAGGAUGAU